rnacentral:rRNA from 1 species
AGAGACGAGUCUCAUCCGGUAGAGCGAAUGAUUAGAGGUGAUGGGGUCGAAACGACUUCAACCUAUUCUCAAACUCCCAAUAGAUGAGAGCCCCGGCUUGCUUGAAAGUGAAGCCGCGGGACACGGAUCAGAGGUGCCAAGUGGGCCAAUUUUGGUAAGCAGAACUGGCGCUGUGGGAUGAACCAAACGCAGAGUUAAGGCGCCUGAUUCGACGCUCAUCCGAAACCAUGAAAGGCGUUGGUUGCUUAAGACAGCAGGACGGUGGCCAUGGAAGUCGGAAUCCGCUAAGGAGUGUGUAACAACUCACCUGCCGAAGCAACUAGCCCUGAAAAUGGAUGGCGCUGUAGCGUCGUGCCUAUACUCUGCCGUCAACGGCAAAGCGGGCGGUCCCUUAACGGGGCGUCGCCGUUAAGCCUUGACGAGUAGGAGGGUCGCGGCGGUGUGCGCGGAAGG